GCCCCCGUAGCUCAGUCGGAUAGAGCAAUGGUUUCCUAAACCGUGUGCCGCAGGUUCAAUUCCUGCCGGGGGUA
rnacentral:tRNA from 1 species